GACGAACGCUGGCGGCGUGCCUAAUACAUGCAAGUCGAACGAAGCUGCUUUAACUGGUGCUUGCACCGACUUAAACAACUGAGUGGCGAACGGGUGAGUAACACGUGGGUAACCUGCCCCAAAGCGGGGGAUAACAUUUGGAAACAGAUGCUAAUACCGCAUAAUCACAGAAACCACAUGGUUUCUGUGUCAAAGAUGGUUUCGGCUAUCACUUUGGGAUGGACCCGGGGCGUAUUAGCGAGUUGGUAAGGUAAUGGCUUACCAAGGCAAUGAUACGUAGCCGAACUGAGAGGUUGAUCGGCCACAUUGGGACUGAGACACGGCCCAAACUCCUACGGGAGGCAGCAGUAGGGAAUCUUCCACAAUGGACGAAAGUCUGAUGGAGCAACGCCGCGUGAGUGAAGAAGGUUUUCGGAUCGUAAGACUCUGUUGUCAGAGAAGAACGUGUGCGAGAGUAACUGUUCGUGCAGUGACGGUAUCUGGCCAGAAAGCCACGGCUAACUACGUGCCAGCCGCCGCCUGUAA
rnacentral:rRNA from 1 species